GCCGGAAUAGCUCAGCUGGGAGAGCAGCAGACUGAAGUUAACUACGAUUUCUGAAGGUCGGGCGUUCGAUCCGCCCUUCUGGCA